rnacentral:rRNA from 1 species
UAAAAACCCCGACUUCGGAAGGGGUGUAUUUAUUAGAUACAAAACCAAUGCCCUUCGGGGCUCUUUGGUGAUUCAUGAUAACUAUACGAAUCGCACGGCCUUGCGCCGGCGAUGGUUCAUUCAAAUUUCUUCCCUAUCAACUUUCGAUGUUUGGGUAUUGGCCAAACAUGGUUGCAACGGGUAACGGAGGGUUAGGGCUCGACCCCGGAGAAGGAGCCUGAGAAACGGCUACUACAUCCAAGGAAGGCAGCAGGCGCGCAAAUUACCCAAUCCCGACUCGGGGAGGUAGUGACAAUAAAUACCGAUACAGGGCCCCUUCGGGCCUUGUAAUUGGAAUGAGUACAAUUUAAAUCCCUUAACGAGGAACAAUUGGAGGGCAAGUCUGGUGCCAGCAGCCGCGGUAAUUCCAGCUCCAAUAGCGUAUAUUAAAGUUGUUGUGGUUAAAAAGCUCGUAGUUGAACCUUGGGCCUGGCUGGCCGGUCCGCCUCACCGCGUGCACUGGUCCGGCCGGGCCUUUCCCUCUGUGGAACCCCAUACCCUUCACUGGGCGUGGCGGGGAAACAGGACAUUUACUUU